UUCAUCAGCAGCAAAACCUGGUUUUAGACUUCUUUGUCUUGUAGGAAGCCUCCUAUCAGACUCUCUGCCUGGCCUGAGAUAUCCAGUUAACACCUGCAAUUCAGAAUACCCUCUCACCCAGCAAUAAAGCAUCCAGCCUUUGCAUCUGUAACAACCUCCUCUGUAAUUUGUGCAUUCUAUGGAUGCUCCAAAUCAUAAUACAAUCCAUCCAUGACUUCAGACAGAUGAAAACAGUUCCUUCUAAAAAAAGAGGCUAAUGUUUUUAAAAGACAGUAAGAGAAGAAUGUCAGCUCCCCAUGGCUGCAGUAGAAAGUGCUGGAUGAGAGGAGCAUCUCCAGAGCAUGGAAGACAAAGCAGCUUUAUCCUCACCUUUUCCACCUCAAUUUCCAUUUUCCUCCAAGGCAAAACUCCCACUCCUGGCAGAUUAAAUGAAAUGAAGACACUGAGCUCUGCAAGUACACUGCUUUUUGAAUCCCAGAGGGGAUGAUGUAGCAAGAAGGCCCUCACCAGAUGCUGGCUCCUUGAUGUUAGACUUCCCAGUCUCCACAAUGUGAACUUGCUUGUCAAAUGCCUCUUUAAAAAGCAAGUGAAGAUAAUUGCAAGUCAGCUGGAAGUGCUGCCAAGAUAUGACCUCCAGGAAGGCCCAGAAGACAAGUGAUAUUGUGUGGACUGCUACAGCGCAAUGUCUAACUGAUGCAAAAUGAAGAAUCAAUUUGAAAUUAAGAUGAGUAAAGGCAUCCAGCACUUACAGCAAAAAACAUUGUCAUCAGGCCCUGGGGAGAUGAGGACACCUCCCUUCCCUUCUCAGGCUCCCUUUCCCUAUCAGACUCUAGCUCUCAAAGGCUGUCAUCCUCCAAGGGUAUUCCCUAAGUACUGCAUAGCAUCUCUGUUACCCUUUGAAUUCAACAGUAUUGAUCUCCUCCAACAUUCAUUCAUUCCUUUAGUCAAAAGUCAGCUGUCAAACACAAGGCACAAGUGCACAUUUAAGGAAUUCAUGGCCAAUAUUUGUCCUGUCAUUUCAUGAAUUGUCUGAGAAACAUAAAACAUACAAUGAGGAUACUGAUCCAAGAUACAUGGCACACAAUUAAAUUGCGAAAAACAUGACUCUGAGUCCAAAAGUUCUUAUUUUUUCACAGUCUUCAGAGUAUUGUAUAGACCCCUUGAAAAAUAAAUUUGCAGAGUGUGAAUGUUAAUUACUGUCACCUUCAGAAAAGAGAUUUUCCACAUUUAUAAAAGAGAAAUAGUGACUAUUCUAGAUAAUAGAGCACAGAAAGAAUUCUCAAACUAGUAUAACCCUAUUUCUCUAUACUACAAAGACAUCUUGUAGGCAUGUUCCUCUGAAGGACUUGAGAAUUAUGCUUUUUUUCCUCCUUGUCUCUCUAAAAGCAAAAAGCACAGUAAUCUUGCUGAAGUAUAAUCAAAACAGAGCCUGAUGUGAAACCAGAGCCUUGAGUUUUCAUCCUGCAUUUGUUACUUAAAAGCUGACAUAAGAAAAAUUAUUUAACUUCUCUUAACCUCAGUUUCUUAUCUAUAAAAUGGGAUUAUAAAAUGUAUCUCACAAGGUAGUUAUGAGGAUUAAAGGAAAUGAAAAAAAUGCUUAUUUGGUUUUGAAUCCUGGUUUGGUCUAGCUAUCAA